rnacentral:rRNA from 1 species
ACGAACGCUGGCGGCGUGCUUAACACAUGCAAGUCGAACGGAAAGGCCCUGCUUGUGUGGGGUGCUCGAGUGGCGAACGGGUGAGUAACACGUGAGUAACCUGCCCUUGACUUUGGGAUAACUUCAGGAAACUGGGGCUAAUACAGGAUAGGAGCUCCUGCUGCAUGGUGGGGGUUGGAAAGUUUCGGCGGUUGGGGAUGGACUCGCGGCUUAUCAGCUUGUUGGUGGGGUAGUGGCUUACCAAGGCUUUGACGGGUAGCCGGCCGGAGAGGGAGACCGGCCACAUUGGGACUGAGAUACGGCCCAGACUCCUACGGGAGGCAGCAGUGGGGAAUAUUGCACAAUGGGCGGAAGCCUGAUGCAGCAACGCCGCGUGCGGGAUGACGGCCUUCGGGUUGUAAACCGCUUUCGCCUGUGACGAAGCGUGAGUGACGGUAAUGGGUAAAGAAGCACCGGCUAACUACGUG